rnacentral:tRNA from 1 species
GCGGGUACGGUCCAAACAUUCUCGAUCAUCUGUCAAGUGCGUCGGGGGGGUUCGAGUCCCCCCACCCGCUCCA